rnacentral:tRNA from 1 species
GGCACCAUGGCUUAGUUGGCUAAAGCACCUGCCUUGUAAGCAGGAGAUCCUGGGUUCAACUCCCAGUGGUGCCU